rnacentral:rRNA from 1 species
UGGGGAAUAUUGGACAAUGGGGGAAACCCUGAUCCAGCAAUGCCGCGUGAAUGACGAAGGCCUUCGGGUUGUAAAGUUCUUUUGUUCAUGAAGAUAAUGACGGUAGUGAACGAAUAAGCCCUGGCUAACUCUGUGCCAGCAGCCGCGGUAAUACAGAGAGGGCUAGCGUUGUCCGGAAUAACUGGGCGUAAAGGGCGCGUAGGCGGUCUAUUAAGUUGGAUGUGAAAUCCCCGGGCUCAACCUGGGAACUGCAUUCGAUACUGGUAGACUAGAGGCCGAGAGAGGAAAGCGGAAUGACGAGUGUAGAGGUGAAAUUCGUAGAUAUUCGUCGGAACACCAGAGGCGAAGGCGGCUUUCUGGCUCGGACCUGACGCUGAGGCGCGAAAGCGUGGGGAGCAAACAGG